rnacentral:rRNA from 1 species
AGUGAACGCUGGCGGUAUGCCUAACACAUGCAAGUCGAACGGCAGCACAGUAAGAUCUUGCUCUUACGGGUGGCGAGUGGCGGACGGGUGACGAAUACAUCGGAAUCUACUUUUUCGUGGGGGAUAACGUAGGGAAACUUACGCUAAUACCGCAUACGACCUACGGGUGAAAGCAGUGGAUCUUCGGACCUUUCGCGAUUGAAUUAGCCGGUGUCGGAUUAGCUAGUUGGCAAGGUAAGGGCUGACCAAGGCAACGAUGCGUAGCCGAUCUGAGAGGGUGAUCGGCCACACGGGAACUGAGACACGGGCCAGACUCCGACGGGAGGCAGCAGGAGGGAAUCUGCCGCAAUGGGCGAAAGCCUGACGGAGCAACGCCGCGUGAGUGAUGAAGGUCUUCGGAUCGUAAAACUCUGUUAUUAGGGAAGAACAAAUGUGUAAGUAACUAUGCACGUCUUGACGGUACCUAAUCAGAAAGCCACGGCUAACUACGUG